UGUCAAUGGCAAUGUCUGAAAGUACAAAAACUCUGUCACACCAUUAGACGACCAUAAUCCACAUUGCAUUUCAGGGUUUUUAUUUACCUAUGCAUUCCCUGCCACUUUACCUUCAUGUCGUUUCAAUUUAUGCUCUAAAAAUAGACCAAACACAAAAUGCGUAGUAAUCAACCGAAACGCUUAACUCUAUUAUAAUAUAAUAAAGUGAUCAGACGUUCAACAACAUAAUCAAAUGCGUUCGUAAAUGAGCAAUAUCAAUAUCGAUACUAAUGGGAAUAUGCAAUGGAAAACAAUAUGUAUAGGAUUGAAAUUGAAGAUCUGAUAGACCGCGAUGCUCUCUAAGAUUCGUCUAAUGGAAAAGAAUCAGAGCUCAAAAUAAAAAAUGAUACAUCACCACAUGAAGUCUGUAGAAAUGAAGUCUUAAUUAACAAAAAUCUCUGUUAAGUCGCUGUACUGAGUGGAAGAUAUAUAUGUUCUAUCGGGGUCACGUUGAAGGCGGUUAGCCUAUUAAACGCUUAAAAACCUGCACCCGAACUUCGGACGGGAGAGAACGCAACGGAGACCUAAGAAAGCAACCGUGCUCUCUAUAAUAACUACCACUAAAGCAAAUACCAAGAAACACGAGAUUAAUUCCCAAAUUGGAACAGCUCAUUGGUG